rnacentral:rRNA from 1 species
CCUACGGGAGGCAGCAGUAGGGAAUUUUUCACAAUGGGCGAAAGCCUGAUGGAGCAAUGCCGCGUGAAGGUCAGUGCCCUAUGGGCGUUAAACUUCUUUUGUCGGGGAGCAAAAGCCGGACGUGUCCGGCUGUGAGAGUACCCGAAGAAAAAGCAUCGGCUCACUCCGUGCCAGCAGCCGCGGUAAUACGGAGGAUGCGAGCGUUAUCCGGAUGUAUUGGGUUUAAAGGGUGCGCAGGCGGAUUUUUAAGUCAGCGGUCAAAUCGUGGGGCUCAACCCCAUCCAGCCGUGGAACCUGGGGAUCGAGAGUGUGCGGGAGGUAGGCGGAAUGCGGGGUGUAGCGGUGAAAUGCAUAGAUAUCACGCAGAACCCCGAUUGCGAAGGCAGCAUACCGGUGCACAACUGACGCUCAGGCACGAAAGCGUGGGUAUCGAACAGGAUUAGAUACCCCUGUAGUC